rnacentral:rRNA from 1 species
GUAGGUGGCAAGCGUUGUCCGGAAUUAUUGGGCGUAAAGCGCGCGCAGGCGGUUCUUUAAGUCUGAUGUGAGAGCCCACGGCUCAACCGUGGAGGGUCAUUGGAAACUGGAGAACUUGGGUACAGAAGAGGAAAGCGGAAUUCCACGUGUAGCGGUGAAAUGCGUAGAGAUGUGGAGGAACACCAGUGGCGAAGGCGGCUUUCUGGUCUGUAACUGACGCUGAGGCGCGAAAGCGUGGGGAGCAAACAGGGAUUAGAUACCCUGGUAGUCCACGCCGUAAACGAUGAGUGCUAAGUGUUAGGGGGGUUUCCGCCCCCUUAGUGCUGCAGCUAACGCAUUAAGCACUCCGCCUGGGGAGUACGGCCGCAAGGCUG